rnacentral:rRNA from 1 species
CCUACGGGAGGCAGCAGUGGGGAAUAUUGGACAAUGGGCGAAAGCCUGAUCCAGCAAUGCCGCGUGUGUGAAGAAGGCCUUCGGGUUGUAAAGCACUUUAAGUUGGGAAGAAAAAGCUCUGGCUAAUAUCUAGAGCCUUGACGGUACCAACAGAAUAAGCACCGGCUAACUCUGUGCCAGCAGCCGCGGUAAUACAGAGGGUGCUAGCGUUAAUCGGAUUUACUGGGCGUAAAGCGUGCGUAGGCGGUUUGAUAAGUCGAUUGUGAAAGCCCCGGGCUUAACCUGGGAAUUGCAGUUGAUACUGUCAGACUAGAAAACGGUAGAGGGAGGCGGAACUCCAGGUGUAGCGGUGAAAUGCGUAGAUAUCUGGAAGAACACCGAUGGCGAAGGCAACCUCCUGGGCCUGUUUUGACGCUGAGGCACGAAAGCGUGGGUAGCAAACAGGAUUAGAUACCCUGGUAGUCCACGCCGUAAACGAUGAGAACUUGACGUUGGUUUGCUUAGCAAAUCGGUGUCGUAGCUAACGCGAUAAGUUCUCCGCCUGGGGAGUACGGCCGCAAGGUUGAAACUUAAAUUGAAUUGACGG